rnacentral:rRNA from 1 species
AGGGUGACAGCCCCGUACACAAAAAUGCACAUAUUGUGAGCUUGAUGAGUAGGGCGGGACACGUGGUAUCCUGUCUGAAUAUGGGGGGACCAUCCUCCAAGGCUAAAUACUCCUGACUGACCGAUAGUGAACCAGUACCGUGAGGGAAAGGCGAAAAGAACCCCGGCGAGGGGAGUGAAAAAGAACCUGAAACCGUGUACGUACAAGCAGUGGGAGCACGCUUAGGCGUGUGACUGCGUACCUUUUGUAUAAUGGGUCAGCGACUUAUAUUCUGUAGCAAGGUUAACCGAAUAGGGGAGCCGAAGGGAAACCGAGUCUUAACUGGGCGUUAAGUUGCAGGGUAUAGACCCGAAACCCGGUGAUCUAGCCAUGGGCAGGUUGAAGGUUGGGUAACACUAACUGGAGGACCGAACCGACUAAUGUUGAAAAAUUAGCGGAUGACUUGUGGCUGGGGGUGAAAGGCCAAUCAAACCGGGAGAUAGCUGGUUCUCCCCGAAAGCUAUUUAGGUAGCGCCUCGUGAAUUCAUCUCCGGGGGUAGAGCACUGUUUCGGCA